rnacentral:rRNA from 1 species
AUUGAACGCUGGCGGCAGGCUUAACACAUGCAAGUCGAACGAUGAUUUCCCAGCUUGCUGGGAAUGAUUAGUGGCGGACGGGUGAGUAACAUUUAGGAAUCUGCCUAGUAGUGGGGGAUAGCUCGGGGAAACUCGAAUUAAUACCGCAUACGACCUACGGGUGAAAGGGGGCGCAAGCUCUUGCUAUUAGAUGAGCCUAAAUCAGAUUAGCUAGUUGGUGGGGUAAAGGCCCACCAAGGCGACGAUCUGGAACUGGUCUGAGAGGAUGAUCAGUCACACCGGAACUGAGACACGGUCCGGACUCCUACGGGAGGCAGCAGUGGGGAAUAUUGGACAAUGGGGGCAACCCUGAUCCAGCCAUGCCGCGUGUGUGAAGAAGGCCUUUUGGUUGUAAAGCACUUUAAGCAGGGAGGAGAGGCUAAUGGUUAAUACCCAUUAGAUUAGACGUUACCUGCAGAAUAAGCACCGGCUAACUCUGUGCCAGCAGCCGCGGUAACAC